rnacentral:rRNA from 1 species
GUGGGGAAUAUUCCGCAAUGGACGAAAGUCUGACGGAGCAACGCCGCGUGAGUGAUGAAGGUUUUCGGAUCGUAAAGCUCUUUCGUUAGGGACGAACGUGCUCUUUGUGAAUAAUGAGGAGUAAUGACGGUACCUAAAUAAGAAGCCACGGCUAACUACGUGCCAGCAGCCGCGGUAAUACGUAGGUGGCAAGCGUUGUCCGGAAUUAUUGGGCGUAAAGCGCGCGCAGGCGGGAUAUCAAGUCUGUCUUAAAAGUGCGAGGCUCAACCUCGUGAGGGGACAGAAACUGGUAUUCUUGAGUGUCGGAGAGGAAAGUGGAAUUCCAAGUGUAGCGGUGAAAUGCGUAGAGAUUUGGAAGAACACCAGUGGCGAAGGCGACUUUCUGGACGAUGUCUGACGCUGAGGCGCGAAAGCUAGGGGAGCGAACGGGAUUAGAAACCCGGGUAGUCC